GCUGCGCGUCCACGAACUCUAGGAGGGGAGGAGCGCGGCCCGGUUCUACGGUCCUCUGCUCCCGGUCCCACCUCCGGCUCUCCAGCCGGUCGGUUCUCCUGCUGGGGACUGGAUCCAGGCAGCCCCGUCUGAGUUUGCAGGCUGGAACCGCUGGCAGCAGCGAGAAGGAGUGUUCGGGAGAGGGUUGCAGAGUUCACCGAGGUUUGGUCCCUUCCUUCAGUUCGGUCGGGUCCAGUCUCCCCUGUUCCGGGCCGGGUCGGAAACGCUGGUCUCAGAGCCGCUGAGCUGGACCUCCACCGCAGCUAGCGGGGGUGAGGCCCAGCCACCCGCCCCGCCCAGCCCUGGGCCGUGCGCGCCGCCGCCGCCGAGGGUCCUCGCCAGGGUCCCCCGUCUCCACCAGAGGGCGUCCGCCUCCCGCGCCUGGGAGGGAGUCCGGUGCCGCAACCCCGACCGCGGCGCGGGGUGGGUUCGGGCGGCCCUUGGAACGCUCCGGCCAGGGACGCGCGGUGAGAGCUGCGGGCCCCGAGGCUUGGGUCUGGGGGUGUGGUGGGGGCGCUCCUGGAGGGACGGGACGGCGUGGGACCGGGGCGAGGGUCCCAGCCCGGGAGAACCCCCACGGCCCAGCCCAAGCUCCCUCCCGCUUUGCUGUGCAUCCUCUCCCUUACCAAGGAAAGCCUGCCCUUCCAGUGCCCCGGCCCAGCUCGAGCCUGCAUCCAAGUAGCGGUUCUCGAAGCAGCUGGGGCAGCAGGGGCUUCCCCCAGGCAGGGCAUAACGUCCCCCGCCCAGAGGCCCGGCGCAGUCCUGGCAACAGAAGUGGUUCUCAUGCCAGCGCUGUCCCUCCGCCUCGGUGCAGCGCCAGGAGAAGAUCAGCUGGGAGAGGGAGAGGGAGAGGGGAACGUUUCAUUCAUUCAUUCACUCAUUCAUUCAUCCAGUAACCACGCCUUUUACCCAGUUAACGCUAAAGCACGUCUGCAUACAUUCCCAUUUAAUUCAGUCACUCUUGGAUGCAGGGAGGACUGAUUGGCUUAGCCAGGAUCCCAGCUAGCAAGUGGCACAAUCCGAAGUGCGACCUGGGGGUCUGGACUCCCAACCCAGGACUCCAGGCUUCCUUUUAUGCUGACAUCAAGGGAAUUUCUAGCAUGAUGAGGCACAGCACUGGGCACUUGGCAUCUACUGAGAUGAGCAUGUGUCCAAGAGUCCCUGCUCUUGAGAAAUUCUGAGUCCAGGAACAUUUGAGGGACUCUGCAGUGGGGGAGGCCAGAGAGAAGGGCACUGGGUCCUACAUGCCCAGAGCUCAAGUCAGAACACAGGGAACUUGGUAGUCCCAGGCUGGUUCCUGCUUCUCCCCACUCCCUGAUACUGGGAUUAACUGUGGCCCAGGAGAGUGUCCCUUUGUAUUCUGCCACUCUGGACCCUGGGCAGACCCCCAGUUCCUCCCCUCCAGGCUGUACCUGGUCACAAGCCGGGCAGCGCGGGCGCAGCAACUCUGCAUGAUGACGGCCGCAGUAGAGUUGUCCAUCAUGGUAGAAGUAGAUGAGGUUUAUCAGGGCCUGGCCACAGGCCUGGCAGGCAAAGCAAGGCUGGUGCCAGCAGCGCUGUUCCCCUGCCCGGGCUGCAAACACUCCAUACUCCCCUGGCUUCAGCAGCUCCCUACACUGUCAGAGGGGAGGUGCUGAGGUAGUCGGAGUAAGCACUACUAUCCUAACUUCCUUCCUUGCUCUUGCAAUCCGAUCCCAACCUGUUCUCGCCAUACCCUAGCAAGCCCACAUCCACUGCAACCUAUACCAAGAGCUCCCAAACUUGGUUUCUGGUUUUCCUGUUUCCCAGAUAGAAUCCCAGAAGCUAGCCCCUUCUGCAGAAAUGAGAGGGCAAAGAAUAGAGGAAGGGGAACUUGGGGGGAGGGGUGCUGCAUACCUUCUCACAGGUGUGUCCUUCAAGCUUGGGAAGUACCCGGCGGGCUACCCCCUGUCCCAGGGCUUCCUGCUUCCGCCUGGCACAGAAGAGCCGCAGCUCGGCCCGCUCCUCCUCCCCAAGGGCCAGGCAGUAGCGCUCCUGCAGAAACAGUCCUCUACAAUUACUGGGAGAGCUCCAGCAGAAAAGAUUGAGCAUUGGUUGGAGGAAAAAAGGCUUGGCUGCUGGGUCAGAGAAAGGUUGUAGAACCUCAGGGAGAUGCCAGAGAUAAUGGCAUAGAAGAGGAAAUAGAAGGAGAAGGAAAGGAGCUCAAGAAAGCCACCUCAGUCUCACCCUGCCCCCUUAGGAAUGUCAUCAAUCAGGUCCUGACAGGCCCACAGCACUUAGCCCUGUCACCAUUAGGUCCUUGUUCCCAAUGAGCUAAGAGCUCAGUAUCACUUCCCAUUCUUGCAUUUCCUCAAAUUAUUUCAUAUACUCCUGUCUUGCCUCCCCAAUUGAAUUGUAAGCCUUUAGGCUGGGCACAUGUAGACCCUCAAUAAAUACGUAACAACCAUA